UCGGCUUCCGUAGAUUUCCACAGAGUUGGGAACUUGGAAAAAAAAUCCUAUCCUCGCCAUAUCUUGCAGUGUUAUGUAGGCUAUAUAAGCAAAAAAUAUUUUUUUAACCUGCCAAUAGUAAUUUAAGUUACUACUGCUUAACACAUUUUGCCAUGUUUAAGUUUUACUUCUCCAGGUACAUUUUACGAAUAUAUACAGUAUAUAUAGUCAGUUUUAUUUACGUGUAUGUUUAUAGUCGAACGCACAGCCAUGCAAAGUAAAGUUUAUUUGAUGUUCAACAAGUGACAAAAUAGGCAACAUACUACAUUCUCCUGUAGAUGCAUGCACCUACGCAUACAAAGGACGUAAAUGUUCAAAAAUCCGGCGGUGUGCAUCCAGUACGCGUGCGCUCUUCAGAUGACGGACACUCGCGUACUCGUAAAAAUUUUACUUUUACUUUUACGUUUCCAAAUGGUCCUGUGUAUAAGGAAUGAACUACACAUUUUAUUUUGAACCUUAUUUCUUUUUAAGGUCCUGUUCUUCCUGUGUUUUUGAAGCUUCACGUGUAAAAAAACGCAUUAUUUUUCACACAAUUUACUUAUCUGUAUACCACUGCUUUCACUGUCCUAAAAACAGGCUGAUGUCUUCCUUGUUCUAUAAAGUACCUCCUUCAGAAAUACGUAACGAGUUCUGAUUGUGUAGUUUAGUGUGUUGUGAUUCGACAGCAACUUAACUUAGCAGAGCUGUUUGAGCUUAGCUGGCGACUGACAUAUCCCUGUGGGCGGAGUUUAGUCAAAAACUGUUUUUUUCAAUCAGGAAGUAGAGGGCUGUAGUCCAAACCGGCCGUUCGCUGUAGGCUUUGAAAGGAGACCUCCGUUAAAGAAAAUAUAUCGCCUGGCAGUGAAUUUUGGCUUAAUCAUUUUGCAGGCUAUGCAGCUUCUCUGAGGACCCCUGAGCUGUUUGGCCUUCACUGCCCUGGCUGACACAUCAGAACAUCAAAUACAAACCUGCUGCUUUGGCAGCCUCACACACACGCACAUACACAGGCAACGAUUCUGAUGCUGUCCCCUUGCCAUUGAGUCAGACUUACAGAUCAAGACUUGUCUCGGGACUCCGUUUAAGGAUUGGUGACUCUUCCAGGAAUGAUUGAAUCAGGGAUGACGAACGAUUUGGCCCACUUUGCGAAGAGCCAAAGAUGCAUGGAGAAAGAUCACAGCACAAAUAGCAAAAACAGAUUCAACGAAACAAAAUGAAGACAUUUGGCCUUUACAGCACUGGAAACACGUUGUAUCCUUAUUAAAGGCUGAAGAGCUCCUCUCUGCUGGAAAGGCCUGUACCAGAUGAUAAAAGACAUGUGAUGCACAAGACUUCCCUUUAGCUUCAAAGGGUUACACAUACAAAAACUUUGAAGUGAAAUGAACGUGAGCAAAAGAAUGACUAAAGUCACUGCUUAAUGAUGACUUGGCUACAUCUUUUGAGCCAUUAGUGUGCCCCCAUCACUUCUUGUCUUCCUGCAGCACUGCUUCAAAUAGAGAGACGGAGGGAAG